AAGUCGUAACAAGGUUUCCGUAGGUGAACCUGCGGAAGGAUCAUUAUCGUAGGGCUUUGUCCUGUCGAGAUAGCGUCCUUGCCUAUUUUUUGGAGCACCGUUCGUUUCCUCAGCAGGCUUGCCUGCUACUGGGGACCCCUCAAACUCUUUGUAAAUACAGUAAUCGUCUGAAAAACAAACAAAAAAUCAAAA
rnacentral:misc_RNA from 1 species